rnacentral:rRNA from 1 species
UACGCAGGGGGCGAGCGUUGUUCGGAAUCACUGGGCGUAAAGCGCACGCAGGCGGAUCGAUAAGUCGGGGGUGAAAGCCCGGGGCUCAACCUCGGAAUUGCCUUCGAUACUGUGUGUCUCGAGUCCGGGAGAGGUGAGUGGAAUUCCUAGUGUAGAGGUGAAGUUCGUAGAUAUUAGGAAGAACACCAGUGGCGAAGGCGGCUCACUGGCCCGGUACUGACGCUCAGGUGCGAAAGCGUGGGGAGCAAACAGG